rnacentral:rRNA from 1 species
AACGCUAGCUACAGGCUUAACACAUGCAAGUCGAGGGGCAGCACGGGAGUAGCAAUACAACUGGUGGCGACCGGCGCACGGGUGAGUAACGCGUAUGCAACCUACCUAUCAGAGGGGAAUAACCCGGCGAAAGUCGGACUAAUACCGCAUAAAACAGGGGCACCGCAUGGUGAUAUUUGUUAAAGAAAUUCGCUGAUAGAUGGGCAUGCGUUCCAUUAGGUAGUUGGUGAGGUAACGGCUCACCAAGCCGACGAUGGAUAGGGGAACUGAGAGGUUGGUCCCCCACACUGGUACUGAGACACGGACCAGACUCCUACGGGGGGCAGCAGUGAGGAAUAUUGGUCAAUGGGCGGGAGCCUGAACCGGCCAAGUCGCGUGAAGGAAGAAGGAUCUAUGGUUCGUAAACUUCUUUUGCAGGGGAAUAAAGUGCGGGACGUGUCCUGUUUUGUAUGUACCCUGAGAAUAAGGAUCGGCUAACUCCGUGCCAGCAGCCGCGGUAAUACGGAGGAUCCGAGCGUUAUCCGGAUUUAUUGGGUUUAAAGGGAGCGUAGGUUGACGUAUAAGUCAGCUGUGAAAGUUUACGGCUCAACCGUGAAAUUGCAGUUGAUACUGUAUGUCUUGAGUGUACAAGAGGUGGGCGGAAUUCGUGGUGUAGCGGUGAAAUGCUUAGAUAUCACGAAGAACUCCGAUUG